GCGGGGAGCCGGGCCCUACGCUCGGAGCCGUCCCGGCGGCCUCAACGCUGCGUAGGCCGGAGGUCGCUCCUCGCUCUCGCGGAACGUGGCCUCGUAAUGCGCUGACGGCUUGUAGUCUCUUUGGCGAGAAAUUUUUCGUGAAUGCGUUGAUACUGACAUCGCGUUCUGAGAAGGUUACACACAAACGGGGUCUUGGCACGCGUUCCUGCUGCAGGAAGAUGGAAGCCUAAACUUUUGCUUCACCGUGGUGUGAUGCGCUCUGUGCGGGUGCUGGCGGGUUGCUCUUAGCUGCCUUCUCGCCUUUUCUCUGUCACCGCACCCCUCCUCUUUCUUUUGUCCUCCAAGGCUUUUGGAGAUGGUGCUCUUGACCAGGCUUUUGUCUCACUAGGUAUGGACAGCCAGAAGGAUGAGAAAGGCAGGCUGCUCAGUGCUGCUUCCGCAGAGGACCUGAAAGUCCGAGGAAAAGAAAAAAGGAAAAGAAAACGUAGCAGAAGCAGAUCAUCAUCUGUUUCUUCCACAUCAUCUUCUAGUACUACAUCCACUUCUUCUUCCUCAUCGCGUUCGUCAUCAAGGUCGUCAUCUUCAAGUAGCAGAGAUUCUCCUAAAACUAAAUCAAAGAGAAGGAAAAAAGAAAAACACAACAAAAAGGUAAACAUUUUCUAA
rnacentral:lncRNA from 1 species